UACAGAGGUCUCAAGCGUUGUUCGGAUUCAUUGGGCGUAAAGGGUGCGUAGGUGGCGCUGUAAGUCGGGUGUGAAAUUUCGGAGCUUAACUCCGAAACUGCAUUCGAUACUGCGGUGCUUGAGGACUGGAGAGGAGACUGGAAUUUACGGUGUAGCGGUGAAAUGCGUAGAUAUCGGGAGGAACAUCAGUGGCGAAGGCGGCCUUCUGGUCCAGUACUGACACUCAAGUGCGAAAGCGUGGGGAGCAAACAGG
rnacentral:rRNA from 1 species